rnacentral:rRNA from 1 species
UACGAAGGGGCGAGCGUUGUCCGGAAUUAUUGGGCGUAAAGGGCUCGUAGGCGGUCCAUCGCGUCGGGAGUGAAAAGCUGGGCUUAACCCCAGUCCUGCUUCCGAUACGGGUGGACUAGAGGUAGGUAGGGGAGAACGGAAUUCCUGGUGUAGCGGUGAAAUGCGCAGAUAUCAGGAGGAACACCGGUGGCGAAGGCGGUUCUCUGGGCCUUACCUGACGCUGGAGGAGCGAAAGCAUGGGGAGCAAACAGG